ACUAUAGAAGUACUUGUGGAGC
rnacentral:miRNA from 1 species